rnacentral:rRNA from 1 species
AGCGAACGCUGGCGGCAGGCUUAACACAUGCAAGUCGAGCGGGCGUAGCAAUACGUCAGCGGCAGACGGGUGAGUAACGCGUGGGAACGUACCUUUUGGUUCGGAACAACACAGGGAAACUUGUGCUAAUACCGGAUAAGCCCUUACGGGGAAAGAUUUAUCGCCGAAAGAUCGGCCCGCGUCUGAUUAGCUUGUUGGUGAGGUAACGGCUCACCAAGGCGACGAUCAGUAGCUGGUCUGAGAGGAUGAUCAGCCACAUUGGGACUGAGACACGGCCCAAACUCCUACGGGAGGCAGCAGUGGGGAAUAUUGGACAAUGGGGGAAACCCUGAUCCAGCCAUGCCGCGUGAGUGAUGAAGGCCCUAGGGUUGUAAAGCUCUUUUGUGCGGGAAGAUAAUGACGGUACCGCAAGAAUAAGCCCCGGCUAACUCCGUGCCAGCAGCCGCGGUAAU